rnacentral:rRNA from 1 species
UACGGAGGGUGCAAACGUUGCUCGGAAUCAUUGGGCGUAAAGGGCUCGUAGGCGGCCAACUAAGUCGGAUGUGAAAUCCCCAGGCUUAACCUGGGAACUGCAUCCGAUACUGGAUGGCUUGAAUCCGGGAGAGGGAUGCGGAAUUCCAGGUGUAGCGGUGAAAUGCGUAGAUAUCUGGAGGAACACCGGUGGCGAAGGCGGCAUCCUGGACCGGCAUUGACGCUGAGGAGCGAAAGCCAGGGGAGCAAACGGG